rnacentral:rRNA from 1 species
AUGGUUGAAGAUGUGUGCAAAGUGACUAACUCCUUAGUCCAUGAUGAUGUUCAUCUAAGGGCAGGGGAAAUUGAUGAGCCUGGUUUCAUAUUGUCAUUCAAGGUACCUCCGGUGUCCUUGGUUACAUAUGGUGAUUCCAACAUUGUGCUCGUCUUGCUAAACACUGUGAAGCAAAGGAAAGCCACAAGACCAGAUGUUCCCCUCAACCUGGAGAUCUUUUCUUUUUCAAUGGUAAUGCAUGAGCAUGCCGCCGUUAUGAUAGAGCCCGGGAUGAAGGUUGGGUUCAGUAUAGAACUAGGAGGUGCGCCCUCUCCCCGCACGCCGCGUGCGCGUCACGCCAUUUGCGGGGCCGUGGGUGCAGUUGGCCCAAUCCAAUCGCCCGCACGCCGCAACCCUUCCUCCCUCCUCGAUCUCUCUCCCUCAACCGCCACAAACCCUAGCCCCCUUUCCUACCAUCCCGCGGUCGCUGCCCCUGCUCCAUCCGACCUCCAUCCUCUCCCUCCAUCCUCUCCCAUGUCGCCGCCCCUCUUCUCCCGCUCACCUUGGCCACCUCCUCUCCUCCGCCGUGUCAUCGGCCCCCUCCCUCCUCUCAGUUCCGUGCCAGCCGUCGCCCAAACCCUAGCCCCAUUCCCCUUGAUCCCCACAGUUACUGCAUCCACAACCACCCGCUCAGCGAGGCCGAAGACCGGGCAACGGACGCCUGACGGGGUGGAGGAGAGGCCAGCGAUAGGGAAAAGCAGCAUCUUCAUGGAUGAGAUCCUGACGGCUGAAGAUGGUGCGCAUGGGAGGAGCUUGGAAGAUGUCAAGAGGCCGUCACCUUUGCUCACCUCCUCUCAUGUUCUAGUGGUGGCGCCGCUGGGGAUGAGGGGAGCAGCAGCCGCAGCAGGCGGUGAUGCUAGUGAAGCGGUGGUCCAUGGUGCCUUCGUCGUUGUCGUCCUCGGCAGAAGAUCGAACGAAGAAGAGAAGAGGAAGGAUCUUGAGGAAGAGGAAAAAAAACAAGGAUGCUUGUUCAUUCUUCUUACCUGCAUUUCUCCCUCACUCCAAUCAGGCAAUGGGACUAUUGACUGGGUACAAGAGCUUCUUCAGAAAACCCACGCUGCUUUUCUAAAUCGCAAUUUUUUUCAAGGUACACAUGAAUCUACGAUCCAGAUUCUAGCUACACCCUUUACUACAACAAUCUCGGGCUUUACUGAAAAGUGCGCUGCUUAUAUAGUUGAUAUCUUUAAUUCAUAUGGUCGUCCGCUGGAUGAUCACUGGUCUUCGGUUCAUAUGGUCACUGGCUGGAAGCUUGCUGUUAUGUUUGCUUCAUAUGGUGGUCGACUGGAAGCUCGCGGUCUGAAUGAUCUCAUUGUCUAUGGCCGGCAAUACACACUUUUCAUUACUACCAGCCAGGAGGUUCUUGGUUGCUUGGGGUUCACGGGCCAUCAUGAUGAUAUACUUGGUUCUUUAAAGAAGAAUGUGCUAUUUCUGAAGCUUCGCUGUGCUUGCUUUCCCCCAACAAGCAGUAAUCCAAUCACGGGUGCAUCAGAAUGUUGUCAUCUUUAUCUUGCUGAAGUACAGAACUAUUGCACCGACGACCACAAUGGGAUGGAUCAAGCAGCCAAGACUCAGAGUGUGGUCGGGCAACGCCAUGGGGCAGAUCUGUGCGGCGCAAGGGGCAGCAGAUGCGAAACUGAAGCUUCCCAGCUAACUUCGGAGCAGUCAAUUGAGCAGAUGGACACGACGAUAUUGGAGACAACGCCAUUGUGCCGAAGCUCUGAAGCAUACGAUUUUUACAAUCUGUAUUUAUGGGAGAAAGGAUUUGGCAUUCGAUAUGCUAAAAGCCGUCUGAAUGUCGAGAGGACGUGGAAAUCUAUUAUGGAUAAUACUGGUCUUGCCAGCGUUAGUGCCCUACUCUGA